GAUGAAGAACGUAGCGAAAUGCGAUAAGUAAUGUGAAUCGCAGAAUUCAGUGAAUCAUCGAAUCUUUGAACGCACAUUGCGCCCCUUGGUAUUCCGAGGGGCAUGCCUGUUCGAGCGUCAUUAUAACCCUCAAGCUCAGCUUGGUGUUGGGGCCUGCUGCACUGGCAGCCCUUAAAAUCAGUGGCGGCGCCAUCUGGCUCUAAGCGUAGUAAUUCUUCUCGCUAUGGAGUCCUGGUGGAUGCUUGCCAUCAACCCCCAAUUUUUCUAUGGUUGACCUCGGAUCAGGUAGGGAUACCCGCUGAACUUAAGCAUAUCAAUAAGCGGAGGA
rnacentral:misc_RNA from 1 species